rnacentral:ncRNA from 1 species
AAGUUGGGGUGUGGGCCCCAACACAGAAAAUUCAUUUUAUUGAAUUUUACAUUUAUGUGCAAGUUGGGCAAAGUAUCUUAUUUUUCAAAGUAUUUAAAAGUAAAAUUACAUGUUAAUACGUAGUAUUAAUGGCAAGACUCCUGAGGGAGCAGUGCCAGUCGAAGACAGGGGCCCCAACACAGAAGCUGACGAAAAGUCAGCUUACAAUAAUGUGCAAGUUGGGGUGGCUGAGACGGCACCCUAGGAAGGGACCCGUCAUCAAAAAUUCUAUUUAUAGAAUUUUACAGUAAUGUGCCAGACGGGCAAAGCGAAGCCAUUCAAUACGAAGUAUUGUAUAAAUAGAGAACAGCAG